UUAUCACCCCGGAUAAUCUCUUUCCUUUGGCCUUCAUUUUUAUUUUAUCAAAAACAUUGAGAACCCUAGCCGUUUCUCUCAAAGAAAAAUCCUUCCAGCAACCAUGAUAUCAUCUCAAGCUUUGAAUCAUUCUAUUCAAUCUGUAUCCAUUUUCUUCGAUCUGUAGCAUAUUAAACGAUCGAGAUUCUUUUAUUCUCCUUCUCUUGCAUACAGCUUGCUUCACUCACAAUGUCGAUCUCGUUUCUGUAAUGUUCUAUUCUCUUUUUAUGGUUUUGUUAUGCAUUACAUUAGCACUAAGAAGAUGAAGACUUCGGAUAAUUUUACAUGUUAAGAACCCUAGCUGCUACUGAUUAGAUUGUUGGUCAGUUUUCAAAAAUUGUUAGGGUUUUUAGUUCGAUUCUUCAGAUUCCGGUCACAAGGUUCAUUUCAAUUUGGAUUUUUAGGGUUUCUACUCCGAUUCUUCAAUUUUUAUUUUUUAGUGACAACAUCCGUCUCAAUUUUAGUUGUUAGGGUAUGUACUUCAAUUCUUCAAAUUGGGUAUCAGUCAGUUUCCGGAAAUUGGGAAGGUUUAAUGUUUUUGUUUGAAGGAUCGAUUCGAACGCAUGUGCUAGGUAGUUCGUCGGUUAUUAGUUGGGUGAUUACCGAGGUAUGUGCUUUACUUGAUCAUGGUCUGCACGGAGUUUAUACUGCUUUCAAAAGAAACUUUGAUGAUGGUGAUUGUACACAGUUGUGUUAGAGUUUGAGUUGAGAUUGUAGUGAUGUUGAAAAUUGUAGUUCAGAUAUGGGUUUGUAAGAUUAUUUCUCCUUCUGAAAGUUGAAGUUGGUAGAGGUAUGUUCAUGUUGACUUAUAUGUUUGUUGCUGCGGGUUUUAUGAUGCCCAUGAUAGUUACAAACAUCAUUGCUUUCAUGGUGAUAAUGAUCAGUUGAUUUUGAAUUCUAGCUUCAACAUCUCUGAAUUUUGGUCCUGCAGCAUUAUUUCCUUCGAGUUUUGGUCCUGCAGCUUCAUCUCCUUCUGUCGUAGUUGAGGUAGACAUUGCAUGUUUUCUUGCUGCUAGUUGUGUGCAUAGGUUUUAGAGUGAAACAAGGAAAAUAUAUGAAAAGUAAGAGGUUACUCCUUAUCAGAAAAAUUUAUAAGCUUUUGUUUGUUUUUUAUUUUCUGUUUUUGGUCUUUCCCACUAAUUUAGAAGAAUAGAAACCAAGGAAAUAGGAAUAUGGUUUAUAGAAUGUUACUCCUUAUUGAUUCCAAUAUCACAGUUCUUUAUAAUCCACCACUAACGCAUAAAUGUUGUUGUCUAUCGUUCAAUACAUGCUCAUUUCCAUGUUAUUCAUAGGUUCAUUGAUAUGGUCUUCCUUUAUAUUUAUGGUUGAGCUGAAUUACAACUAGAGGAUCCUUACUGAUUAAACCUUUUUUGGUUCCAACAUUUUCAGCUAGAUGGCCGAACUUCCUCUGUGCUUGUUCUGUCUUCUCCUCGGGCUCGGUUCAACUUCACUGGUCUUGGUGGCCCCUUCCUCAAAAUAGUGCAACAUCAAAGUGGUUUACAACAAGUAAGGGAUUGCACGCUGCUGGACUAAGUGGAAUAAUGGCUGUCAACCAAUAUAUUGUUGUUGCCUGGGAGGUCAAUGGCUUCAGGUAGCUGCUGAGACAAGUAUAACAUGCUGGUGUCCCACCAUCACUGAAUCCUCCUUGUUGGACAGGGUUUGUGCCUUAGGCAGUAUAUUUAUUAAUGCUUGAGAAGAAGUUUGUUCAUCCUCAACUACAUAAGUCUUCUCUAAAGAUAGCUGCAAUUCAAAUGCAUCCAGCAGAAAGCAGAGACGAAUCAAGAUUUCAACAACUUAAACUGAAGAUGCGCGACUCCCAGGUAUAUAUGCAUCUUGAAAAAAUGCACAUUGUUUCUGAUAAGUAAGUAGAGCCAUUCUGAGGUUUUGCUAGGAUUAAAUUCACUCCACCCCAAUCUUCUUGCAUAACUCAUUAAGUAGUUUACAUACAAUUUAAUUUGUAUUUGAUCUGUAGAUAUUAUGAUUUUAAUAUAUGCCACGUAUGCGAAUGUGUAAGGUAUUGGUUUCUGUGUAACUGAUUCACAUCAAGAAGUAUUUAAAUGUGACUUGGAAUCUUGUUAUAUAUAUUAGGAUCCCCAUACCUUCGUAUAUCUAUUGUUUUUUGAAGAUCGUUAGGAAAAGAGCAGUUGCAAGUGUUUUUGUUGAUUUUAGAAAGGGAGAUCCACAAAGCAAUGAUGAUUAUGACGAGUUGAAUGAUGGAACUAUGGCAAAUGCGAUAGAGAUGGAGUACUUGGACGUGUUUCAGUAGGUGGCCAAAAACUUAGAUAAAGUGAAUUCAGUAUUAUGUUGUUUUAGAUGAAAUUUCGGGUUGUUAAUGUAGGAUGAAUUUAUCUGUUUUUGUAUAUGUGAGUUUGGGCUCUUAGUGUAAACUUGAAUUCAUAUUUCAGAUAAAGUCAAGUAUACUUACUUUUAAAUGAAUCCGCCUUUUUUU